rnacentral:rRNA from 1 species
GAUUGAACGCUGGCGGCAGGCCUAACACAUGCAAGUCGAGCGGUAGCACAGAGAGCUUGCUCUCGGGUGACGAGCGGCGGACGGGUGAGUAAUGUCUGGGAAACUGCCUGAUGGAGGGGGAUAACUACUGGAAACGGUAGCUAAUACCGCAUAAUGUCGCAAGACCAAAGUGGGGGACCUUCGGGCCUCAUGCCAUCAGAUGUGCCCAGAUGGGAUUAGCUAGUAGGUGGGGUAACGGCUCACCUAGGCGACGAUCCCUAGCUGGUCUGAGAGGAUGACCAGCCACACUGGAACUGAGACACGGUCCAG